UACGUAGGGUGCAAGCGUUAAUCGGAAUUACUGGGCGUAAAGCGUGCGCAGGCGGUUUUGUAAGUCUGUCGUGAAAUCCCCGGGCUCAACCUGGGAAUUGCGAUGGAGACUGCAAGGCUAGAAUCUGGCAGAGGGGGGUAGAAUUCCACAUGUAGCAGUGAAAUGCGUAGGGAUGUGGAGGAACACCGAUGGCGAAGGCAGCCCCCUGGGUCAAGAUUGACGCUCAUGCACGAAAGCGUGGGGAGCAAACAGG
rnacentral:rRNA from 1 species